GAUGGGUCACAGAAUUUGGUGUCACACUGGAGAGUGAGAAACAGUACCUGGAAGUGGUGAAUACUCCAUAGAUGAUUGGACUCUUGGGAUCCUUUGAGCUCAUGAGAAAAACAUCCUCUGAAGACAACCAAAAACAUGAGAGCUGUCCAAUGCGAGCAUGUGUGGCCUUCCCAGCAUGCUCUCCAUCCAGAGCAUUCUCUCUGAAGAACAGAAAUUAGGCUGCAAAAUUUUGAACCACUUGUAAACAAGCUGAAACUCCUUGUGAAGACAUAAGGC